rnacentral:rRNA from 1 species
UGCCACAGCCAUAUCACCCUGCAGCCCAAGACCGCUUACUCACUAAGCUAAGCAGGGCUGAGCCUGGUCAGUACCUGAAUGGGUGGACCACAUGGGAAAAACUAGGUUGCUGUAGGAA